UCCUGGUGGCUCAGAUGGUAACGAGUCUGCCUCCAAUGCAGGAGACCCAGGUUCGAUCCCUGGGUUGGGAA
rnacentral:tRNA from 1 species